GUGUACACGAUCUUGUCACCGAGCAUCGAGCAUUUUACGGUGGACCUGGAGGAGAGGAGAUGAGGGUUUGGUGGGUUGGUGCAGAGGAGAGAAUGAAGGGAUAAGGGAGGAAGGGAAGCUCGAGAGAGGUAGAAGACGACCAAAAAACAAUUUUUGUUGAAUUUUUAAUUUCCACAUGGACUCCUUAAUGACAUGUGGCAUCCAAUCAUUGUCUACAAGGGUGCCAUGUCAUCAGUUAACGGAAAACUUAACAGUCAGACUAAAUGAUGUAUGAGACUGUCCCAAAAUUAAUACUUUAGGUAUGACUCUGGGAUGAAAUGAACUUGAUGUAUCAAAUGUUGAAAACCACAAAACUUAAGGGUAGUAAACUGAGAUUUACCCAAAUAAAUAUUACAAAUUGUGAAAUCAACAUCAUCAUUCCAUAAAAUUAGAAAGAAAGAAAAAAAAACUUAGAAAAAUCCCCAAAAAUCAGUGGAAAAAAAAAGGAUAAAGAGCAAGAAUUGAUCGUCGCGCAAGAAAAAAAAUGAAGAUAUGAAAAUUGGGACCCAGCAACACUACAUAAGAGAAAUGAUGCAACCCAUCAUCAUCUUUAUUCCGAAUUAAUGCGAUCCAUCAGCGAAAAUUGAAGAAAAAAUGAAGAGAUGAAGGAAGAAGAUAAAGAAAACAAAGCGGCUAGCAGGCAAUGAAAGGAAGAGAGAGUCAGAGGUCGCUGAUUUGAAAUCCUAGGGGGUGAGGUGGGAUUCUAUUUGGUCUUAAUUAUAUUAUACUUCUUGGUCUCAAAUCUCACAAAAUCCAUAACUUAAUAAAAUCCUAUAAAAUCUUUAAAUUUUUAAUAAUCCUGGAUUUUGGAUGGACUCUAAAAAUGUCUAUUAAAAUCUCAAUUAACUACACUAGGAUUUUAAAGUCUUUUAAAAUCCUCUCAAAUCUGAGUUUGACUACAUCCCUUAAUCAUAUAUAUUGGAAACCUUUAAGGGGAAGGGAUCUCUAUUUAAAAAAAAAAAGGGAAUUAGUUGUGGAGUCCACAAGACAUCAAACUUUAAUGAUCCAAACAAUCUAUUUUUGAAGUUGCACCUCAUAGAUCAUCCUUGCAAAGUAUUAGCCAAAUUGAAAAUGUUUAAGACACCUAAUUUGAGUUCAAAGAAAUUAAUGAAUACUUUGUUAUAUAAGAAACAAUGAAAUUUUAUCUUGAUAAUUAAAUAGGCAAAUGGUUUUGGAUUGAAUUGAAUUUUUGUAAAGAUGAUCUAUAAAACAAGACUUACAAAAUAGACGAUUCAGAUCGUUGAAGUUCGAUGUGGAGUGGGCCCCACACCUAAUCCCUUUUUUUUUUUAAAUGGGGAUCCCUUAUAUCUCUCUCUCUCUCUCUCUCUCUCUCUCUCUCUCUCUCUCUCUCUCUCUCCCUCUCUCUCUCUCUCUCUCUCUCUUCUUCUACAUUAACGGGAAUGUCAAAAUGAUAAUCAUAUAUGUAGACAAUAUCAGAUUGAUCAUAUAUUAUUGAACAUGGACUAUUGUGAAAUGAUUACCAUCGUUUUCAAAUGCCCUUUGUCUGGAAAUGAAGGAUUUUAGCUGUAAAUCUAUGGUCACUAUAAAAAUUACCAUUUGCCUGACUAAGAUUAGCUCGACAGAAGGUAUUUCAUCGGGUAAUUCCACUUCGCUCGACGAAAAAUAACUCUUAGUCGGGAAAACGUGAUCAACGCUUUGGUUUUUUAGAGGCUUUAAGCGAGGGAACAAUUUGGUGGGGCAAGUCUCAGGUCGUUAGGCAAACAUUUGGCGCCAAAGGUGAAAAAAAUGGUGCGAAACCAAUCAAAUCUUUCCCAACGAACUUUUAAAGUUCUGUCGCGCAAAAGGCUUAGUUAGGUCUUAGCCUUAAUCAAGUUUCAGGGUUUAGGGUUUCACAGUGACCAACCUUUCCCGACAAACUUCCAUCAAACUACCACUACUAUUUGCUUCAAUUAUGAAGGUUUAGGGAGUAGUAUUGGUGGUAAAAAUCAGAGGAAUGAGUGGAAGCCAAAUGUGGGAGUUCGCAGCGCUCAACUAUAAGAUUUGUAAUGGUAAUAUUAGAACUACUAGUUGGAAAGGAUAUCAGGAUCACUAUGUGGAAUACUUGAGUAAUUUCUUUUGCCGAAGAAGGUGAUGACGAAAAGUUACUCAGAUGACUUGCAUGUGGUCCAUGAAGAGGAUAUCACCGUCAUGAUAAAAAAAUAUCCCCAACAAACGCCACCUUCAAUCCCUACCGUUGGAUUAAUCUCCAUAACUACUUUAUAAACACCCCUUCUUCCUGCAUUUUUUUGCUUGCUCAAAUCCACUGUUCUGGCAAAGUCUAAUUCCUCUAAAAAAUUUAAAAUUUCUCUUUUUUCUUAGUCCUUUUUUGUAAUGGAUCCCAAACUUUAAACCCUAUAGCUACAAAAUUAAUUUCAAUAAUCCAAUUGUCAAAAAUGUUUGCAUAUACUUGAGAUAUCCUAUGCCAAAAAUCACAAAAAAGAAAGUUCAAAGAUUAGGUAAUAGACAAAAUUAUUCGACUUUUAGAAAUGAAAAAUCACGAUUUAAUGGUCAUUUUAACUCCGAUUUGGUUUUGCAAAUACAAUCCUCAACCCUAGCCAAAUAUAAUAAACUCUAAAUGUUUUGGAAUCCAUUCUUUUGACGAUAUACACAUUCUACGAAACUAGUUUUCAUGACAUUCAAAACCUUUGCCGACGA
rnacentral:lncRNA from 1 species